UGCUUGUUCUUGAAGAUGGUGUGA
rnacentral:piRNA from 1 species